UUGCCUACGGGAGGCAGCAGUGAGGAAUAUUGGUCAAUGGUCGGGAGACUGAACCAGCCAAGCCGCGUGAGGGAGGAAGGUACAGAGUAUCGUAAACCUCUUUUGUCAGGGAACAAAGACUGGGACGCGUCCCCGGAUGAGUGUACCUGAAGAAAAAGCAUCGGCUAACUCCGUGCCAGCAGCCGCGGUAAUACGGAGGAUGCGAGCGUUAUCCGGAUUUAUUGGGUUUAAAGGGUGCGUAGGCGGCCUGCUAAGUCUGGAGUGAAAGGUACCGGCUCAACCGGUACAGGCUCUGGAAACUGGCG
rnacentral:rRNA from 1 species